UACGUAGGUGGCGAGCGUUGUCCGGAUUUACUGGGCGUAAAGAGCGCGCAGGCGGUCGUCCAAGUCGCGUGUGAAAGCCCCCGGCUCAACUGGGGAGGGUCACGCGAUACCGAUCGACUCGAAGGCAGGAGAGGGUAGUGGAAUUCCCGGUGUAGUGGUGAAAUGCGUAGAUAUCGGGAGGAACACCAGUGGCGAAGGCGACUACCUGGCCUGUUCUUGACGCUGAGGCGCGAAAGCUAGGGGAGCAAACGGG
rnacentral:rRNA from 1 species